CAUCUUCUUGUUAAUGUCCUUUCCUGCUUUUCAAACUUUCCAGCCUUGUAUUUUUCUGGAUAGAGCUGGAAUCCAUUCUAGUGCUCAAGUUUCAGUGGAAGAGACUGACUAGAAAAGUACAAUUACACAUGAAACUAAGAAGAGGAUAGGUUUUCUGAGGACCUCAGGAUAGCAAAUAACCAAAUCUUAACUGUUGGAGUAUUUUGAAGUACUCAGAAAUAAUAAUUUUGGGAAUACUCCGUAAAAAGUUCCAGAAGAUCUUUAAGUGAGUGAAGUGGAAACAGA